CUCUCUGUAGCUCAGUUGGUAGAGCGGUGGACUGUAGAUCCAUCGGUCACUGGUUCGAUUCCGGUCGGAGAGA
rnacentral:tRNA from 1 species